AGCCAACUUGAAGAUUAGGUAUCAUUAAGUCCCCAGAGAGAUGAUCUGGUUGAUAGGCACUAGGUGGAAGUGUGGUGACACAUGGAGCCGAGGUGUACUAAUAGGACGUUAU
rnacentral:rRNA from 1 species